CCCUCUUUCAGCUCAAGUCUACCUCACAAUCAUUCUGAAAAAUCCUCUUAAAUGUGUGUGUGCAGCUGUGAGAAGAAGAAAGGGAGUGUGUGUUGCAGAGCGAGACAGAGGAGAGAGAGAGAGGGACAAGCAACUGUGAUCUGCCCAUGCCGGCUCUCACUACAUAUCAGGGGGAAACUGGAGGAUUUUAGAGCCGACAGUUCAAUUCCUACCAAAUCAUUGAACACUAUCUGUAUUUUCCAUAGGGCCCAUAAAAUGUUUAUAUACAUUCACUAUAAAUCUAUAAAUAUGUCAAUCAUUUUCUCAUACAACUGUCAUAAAAACCGGUUGCGUAGAUCACAAAUCGACGUACCUUCAGGACACUGACAAUAAAGAUGGAUAGUGACAGAGAAGGUAGAAAUUCUCGUAGCUCUCCUCAGAGAAACGCUUGUUACACACACACAGUUUGAUUGUG